AGAGCUGACGCAUUACGCAGGG
rnacentral:misc_RNA from 1 species